rnacentral:lncRNA from 1 species
GGGAUUCAGGGUCAGCCACUGCCUUAAAGUCAUAACGGAAGGCAGCUGAGAGAGACCUGGGUUUUCCGGGGCAGCAGCUGAGGACGCCAGCGCACGCAUCCGAUGGUGGCCGCUCUGCGCGCUGGGCUCCAGGGCUCAUCCGAACCCAGCACAGCUCUGCACCGGGGGCUGGGGACCCCGGCCCGGCCCGGCCCGGCCCGCCGCAGCGGACGUGGUGAUGGUUUCAGCUCCCUGGCAAUCACCAAGCCAGAAACUGCUCAACAAAACAGAGAACCAAAAGGACUUUUUGAACAGAACCUCAAUAGUGUAAGAAGUAACAGUCAGAAUCAGCAAUCACCGUCCUGUCCAGUUCAAAAGCUUGAGCACAGUAAAGGCAA